UACGGGGGGGGCUAGCGUUGUUCGGAAUUACUGGGCGUAAAGGGCGCGUAGGCGGUCUGCUAAGUUGGAUGUGAAAACUCUGGGCUUAACCCAGAGCCUGCAUUCAAUACUGACAGGCUAGAGUUCUGGAGAGGAAGGCGGAAUUCUCGGUGUAGAGGUGAAAUUCGUAGAUAUCGGGAGGAACACCAGUGGCGAAGGCGGCGAUCUGGGAAGAUACUGACGCUGAGGUGCGAAAGCGUGGGGAGCAAACAGG
rnacentral:rRNA from 1 species